rnacentral:rRNA from 1 species
GACGGGGGGGGCAAGUGUUCUUCGGAAUGACUGGGCGUAAAGGGCGCGUAGGCGGUGAAUCGGGUUGAAAGUGAAAGUCGCCAAAAAGUGGCGGAAUGCUCUCGAAACCAAUUCACUUGAGUGAGACAGAGGAGAGUGGAAUUUCGUGUGUAGGGGUGAAAUCCGUAAAUAUACGAAGGAACGCCAAAAGCGAAGGACAGCUCUCUGGGUCCCUACCGACGCUGGGGUGCGAAAGCAUGGGGGAGCGAACAGG